GGGGAAUAUUGCACAAUGGGCGAAAGCCUGAUGCAGCAACGCCGCGUGAGUGAUGAAGGUCUUCGGAUUGUAAAGCUCUGUCUUUUGGGACGAUAAUGACGGUACCAAAGGAGGAAGCCACGGCUAACUACGUGCCAGCAGCCGCGGUAAUACGUAGGUGGCGAGCGUUGUCCGGAUUUACUGGGCGUAAAGGGUGCGUAGGCGGAUGUUUAAGUGAGAUGUGAAAUACCCGGGCUUAACUUGGGUGCUGCAUUUCAAACUGGAUAUCUAGAGUGCAGGAGAGGAGAAUGGAAUUCCUAGUGUAGCGGUGAAAUGCGUAGAGAUUAGGAAGAACACCAGUGGCGAAGGCGAUUCUCUGGACUGUAACUGACGCUGAGGCACGAAAGCGCGGGUAGCAAACAGGAUUAGAUACCCUGGUAGUCCACGCCGUAAACGAUGAGUACUAGGUGUAGGAGGUAUCGACCCCUUCUGUGCCGCAGUAAACACAUUAAGUACUCCGCCUGGGGAAGUACGAUCGCAAGAUUA
rnacentral:rRNA from 1 species